GGCUCAGGACGAACGCUGGCGGCGUGCUUAAUGAAUGCGAGUCGAGCGAGAAUCAGAUGAGUGCUUGCACAAGUCUGAGGACAGCGGCGAACGGGUGAGUAACACGUGGGUAACCUGCCCCCCAGUCGGGGACAACAGUGGGAAACUACUGCUAAUCCCCGAUAGUCUGUCGCAACGCAAGUUGCGACAGUAAAGGCUUCGGUCGCUGAGGGAUGGGCCUGCGGUCCAUUAGCUUGUUGGUGAGGUAACGGCCCACCAAGGCGACGAUGGAUAGCCGGUCUGAGAGGAUGGUCGGCCACACUGGGACUGAGACAUGGUCCAGACUCCUCCGGGAGUUAGCAUCAGGGAAUCUUGCGCAAUGGGCGAAAGCCUGACGCAGCGACGCCGCGUGAGGGAUGAAGGUCUGCGGAUCGUAAACCUCUGUCUAGAGGGACGAAUGCCCUACUCGGUAGGGAGUGACGGUACCUCUGGAGGAAGCCCCGGCUAACUACGUGCCAGCAGCCGCGGUAAUACGUAGGGGGCCAGCGUUGUCCGGAUUUACUGGGCGUAAAGAGCGCGUAGGCGGUUUGGUUAGCGGAGGGUGAAAUCCCGGGGCUCAACUCCGGGGCUGCUCUCCGAACUGCCAGACUAGAGUACGGGAGAGGGCAGUGGAAUUCCUGGUGUAGCGGUGGAAUGCGUAAAUAUCAGGAGGAACACCUGUGGCGAAGGCUGCUGCCUGGAACGUUACUGACGCUGAGGCGCGAAAGCUAGGGGAGCGAACGGGAUUAGAUACCCCGGUAGUCCUAGCUGUAAACGAUGGACACUAGGUGUUGCCGGCAUCGACCCCGGCAGUGCUGUUCUGCUAACGCGUUAAGUGUCCCGCCUGGG
rnacentral:rRNA from 1 species